rnacentral:rRNA from 1 species
CGGACGGGUGAGUAAUGUCUGGGAAACUGCCUGAUGGAGGGGGAUAACUACUGGAAACGGUAGCUAAUACCGCAUAACGUCGCAAGACCAAAGAGGGGGACCUUCGGGCCUCUUGCCAUCAGAUGUGCCCAGAUGGGAUUAGCUAGUAGGUGGGGUAACGGCUCACCUAGGCGACGAUCCCUAGCUGGUCUGAGAGGAUGACCAGCCACACUGGGACUGAGACACGGCCCAG